rnacentral:rRNA from 1 species
AGGCCUACCAAGGCGACGAUGUAUAACGGAUCUGAGAGGAUGAUCCGUCACACUGGAACUGAGACACGGUCCAGACUCCUACGGGAGGCAGCAGUGGGGAAUAUUGGACAAUGGGCGAAAGCCUGAUCCAGCAAUUCUGCGUGAGUGAGGAAGGACUUCGGUCUGUAAAGCUCUGUUAAUGUGGAAAAAUGGUAGUUGGUCUAAUAGGCCGAUUAUUUGAUGGUACACAUAGAGGAAGCACCGGCUAACUUCGUGCCAGCAGCCGCGGUAAUACGAAGGGUGCAAGCGUUGUUCGGAUUUAUUGGGCGUAAAGCGCGCGUAGGCGGACCUGUAAGUCAGAUGUGAAAUCUCGGUGCUCAACACCGAAACUGCGUCUGAAACUGCGGGUCUAGAAUCUUGGAGGGGGAGUGGGAAUUUCGCAUGUAGGGGUAAAAUCCGUAGAGAUGCGAAGGAACACCAGAGGCGAAGGCGCACUCCUGGACAAGUAUUGACGCUGAGGCGCGAAAGCG